rnacentral:misc_RNA from 1 species
UGGCUCUCGCAUCGAUGAAGAACGCAGCGAAAUGCGAUAAGUAAUGUGAAUUACAGAAUUCAGUGAAUCAUCGAAUCUUUGAACGCACCUUGCGCUCCUUGGUAUUCCGAGGAGCAUGCCUGUUUGAGUGUCUUGAAGUCAUCAACCCCUCCUGUUUUGUCAGGAGCUGGGAUUGGAGUUGGGGGCCUGCUGCCGCAAGGCGGCUCCCCUCAAAUGCAUCGGUUGGACCUGUGGGUCGAACUCGACUGGGCGUUGUAUCAUCCUCGCUCGACCGAGAAGUCCCCCUCUUGCGUCCUCCCACGACCUUGCCUGUGGAGUGGCGGUCAAUGUAAUUUGAAAUCUGACCUCAAAUCAGGUAGGACUACCCGCUGA